AUUGAACGCUGGCGGCAUGCUUUACACAUGCAAGUCGGACGAGUGGCGGACGGGCGAGUAACGUAUCGGAACCUACCGGGUAAUGGGGGAUAACUAAUCGAAACGUUAGCUAAUACCGCAUAUUAUUCGAGCGGCCCAUAUCGGAUUAGCUGGUUGGUGGGGUAAAGGCCUACCAAGGCGACGAUCAGUAGCGGGUCUGAGAGGAUGAUCGGCCACACUGGGACUGAGACACGGCCCAGACUCCUACGGGAGGAAGCAGUGGGGAAUUUUGGACAAUGGGAGCAAGCCUGAUCCAGCCAUGCCGCGUGUCUGAAGAAGGCCUUCGGGUUGUAAAGGACUUUUGGCAGGGAAGCGGUACCUGAAGAAUAAGCACCGGCUAACUACGUGCCAGCAGCCGCGGUAAUUC
rnacentral:rRNA from 1 species